rnacentral:lncRNA from 1 species
CUCUGCUUUCCAUGAGCACAGGCCUGUGCUUGCCUCAGCAGCACGUGCUCCCUGAGCCUCCCCUCCACCACCAGACAGUUCUGAGAUGCCUGUCUCACCCCCCUUCAGACCCCGAGACAGCCCCAGGAAGUAGAGCAAGACUUCACUUCUCAACAAGGAUGUCCCCAAGGUGCCAGGGACCCAGCAAUAAGAUCCAAGAGCCAGCCCCAGGGAGAAGUGCCAGACCUCUUCAAGGGCCACCUCUCUUAGUCUAUGUGUGAGAGAGAAUGUGUGUGUGUCAUCCAUAGAAUAAGGGAGAGGGUGAUGAGAUGCACAAACUCAAUGUGAGUAUGCCUUUGGCAUCAGAUUUAAGCCUCUAAACCCUCUCCACUAGAUGCUCCCAGCCAAAAAGGGACAGCAGGUCGGAGAAAUGAGAGAGGACACUCUCUCAUCCUUCUGCUACUCUCCCACUCUGGAAGGUUUCCCAGACUCCUGGAUCUCUUCGUCUCCCCUAUGUCUUCCUCUCUGCUACCACUAGGUGCUGCAUGCCCC